CCUACGGGAGGCAGCAGUGGGGAAUCUUGCCCAAUGGGCGAAAGCCUGAGGCAGCAACGCCGCGUGCGGGAUGAAGGCCCUUGGGUUGUAAACCGCUUUCAGCAGGGACGCGGUACCUGCAGAAGAAGCCCCGGCCAACUACGUGCCAGCAGCCGCGGUAAGACGUAGGGGGCGAGCGUUGUCCGGAUUUAUUGGGCGUAAAGAGCUCGUAGGCGGCUCAGCAAGUCAGGUGUGAAACCUCCAGGCUUAACCUGGAGACGCCACCUGAUACUGCUGGGCUGGAGUCCGGUAGGGGAGCAGGGAAUAUCCGGUGUAGCGGUGAAAUGCUUAGAUAUCGGGUGGAACACCAGUGGCGAAGGCGCUGCUCUGGGCCGGACUGACGCUGAGGAGCGAAAGCGUGGGUAGCAAACAGGAUUAGAUACCCUUGUAGUC
rnacentral:rRNA from 1 species